rnacentral:rRNA from 1 species
CAGUCGCCGCGGUAAUACGUAGGGGGCAAGCGUUGUCCGGAAUUAUUGGGCGUAAAGCGCGCGCAGGCGGUCAUUUAAGUCUGGUGUUUAAUCCCGGGGCUCAACCCCGGAUCGCACUGGAAACUGGGUGACUUGAGUGCAGAAGAGGAGAGUGGAAUUCCACGUGUAGCGGUGAAAUGCGUAGAUAUGUGGAGGAACACCAGUGGCGAAGGCGACUCUCUGGGCUGUAACUGACGCUGAGGCGCGAAAGCGUGGGGAGCAAACAGGAUUAGAUACCCCGGUAGUCCCUGUCUCUUAUACC